UACGUAGGGUGCGAGCGUUAAUCGGAAUUACUGGGCGUAAAGCGUGCGCAGGCGGUUCGCUGUGUCCGAUGUGAAAGCCCCGGGCUUAACCUGGGAAUGGCAUUGGAAACUGGCGGGCUUGAGUGCGGCAGAGGGGGGUGGAAUUCCACGUGUAGCAGUGAAAUGCGUAGAGAUGUGGAGGAACACCGAUGGCGAAGGCAGCCCCCUGGGCUAACACUGACGCUCAGGCACGAAAGCGUGGGGAGCAAACAGG
rnacentral:rRNA from 1 species